CUGCUUUCAAUCUCUCAAUCUUUUCAUUUAACUCCUCCUGGAGAGCUUCCGCUUCCUGAGCCUCCUCUCGCAAGGUUUCUACCAUAGACUCCAGGCUCAUUCUUCUUGUCAGUUCCUCUUCCCAUUUUCUCUUGUACUCGUCCCUCUCCCUCUUGACUUUGGCCAACACGUUGUAGAGCGCCCGGAUCUCGGGGGUGAUGGUAUCGAUCUGCACCCCGACGCCAUCCGGGUGGAUCCAAG
rnacentral:lncRNA from 1 species